rnacentral:sRNA from 1 species
UGGCGUGUGAGGAGCGAACUAGGAAAGAGAGUCGAGACGAAACACGGCAAGUCGUCGGCUCUUUUUCUUAU